rnacentral:sRNA from 1 species
CACGACAUCGUCGGCGCCCAUGCGGCGGGCCAUCUCCAUGCGGGCCGGGACGCUCUCGACCGCGAUAAUCGUCGUU